rnacentral:rRNA from 1 species
AUUGAACGCUGGCGGCAUGCUUUACACAUGCAAGUCGAACGGGCUUGGGGGCUUGCUCCCAAGUUAGUGGCGAACGGGUGAGUAAUACAUCGGAGCGUACCGUGUAGUGGGGGAUAACUUAGCGAAAGUUAGGCUAAUACCGCAUACGAUCUACGGAUGAAAGUGGGGGGACCUUCGGGCCUCACGCUAUACGAGCGGCCGAUGUCUGAUUAGCUAGUUGGUGAGGUAAAGGCUCACCAAGGCGACGAUCAGUAGCGGGUCUGAGAGGAUGAUCCGCCACACUGGGACUGAGACACGGCCCAGACUCCUACGGGAGGCAGCAGUGGGGAAUUUUGGACAAUGGGCGAAAGCCUGAUCCAGCCAUGCCGCGUGUCUGAAGAAGGCCUCGG